UCUUGCACAAUGGGGGCAACCCUGAUGCAGCGACGCCGCGUGAGUGAUGAAGCCCUUCGGGGUGUAAAGCUCUUUCGGCCCGAACGAUAAUGACGGUACGGGAAGAAGAAGCUGCGGCUAACUACGUGCCAGCAGCCGCGGUAAUACGUAGGCAGCGAGCGUUGUUCGGAGUUACUGGGCGUAAAGCGUGCGUAGGCGGUUUUCUAAGUCUGGUGUGAAAUCUCCCGGCUCAACUGGGAGGGUGCGCUAGAAACUGGAAGGCUUAGAGUGUGGGAGAGGUAGGCGGAAUUCCUGGUGUAGCGGUGAAAUGCGUAGAUAUCAGGAGGAACACCUGUGGUGUAGACGGCUUACUGGACCAUCACUGACGCUGAGGCACGAAAGCGUGGGGAGCAAAC
rnacentral:rRNA from 1 species